UACGUAGGGUGCAAGCGUUGUCCGGAAUUACUGGGCGUAAAGGGCGCGUAGGCUGUGCUGUAAGUCAGGCGUGAAAGCCCCGGGCUCAACCUGGGAAUUGCGCUUGAUACUGCGGCGCUGGAAGGUGGGAGAGGAUGGCGGAAUUCCCAGUGUAGAGGUGAAAUUCGUAGAUAUUGGGAAGAACACCGGUGGCGAAGGCGGCCAUCUGGCCCAUUUUUGACGCUGAGGCGCGAAAGCGUGGGGAGCAAACAGG
rnacentral:rRNA from 1 species